rnacentral:rRNA from 1 species
CAAGGAAUUUUCCCCAAUGGGCGCAAGCCUGAGGGAGCAACGUCGCGUGGAGGAAGACGGCCUUCGGGUUGUAAACUCCUUUUAGGGGGGAAGAUAUGGACGGUACCCCCUGAAUAAGCCCCGGCUAACUCCGUGCCAGCAGCCGCGGUAAGACGGAGGGGGCAAGCGUUGUCCGGACUUACUGGGCGUAAAGCGCGUGUAGGUGGUUUCGUGCGUCGGUGCUGAAAACUUCAGGCUCAACCUGAAGACGCGUGCCGAUACGACGAGACUAGAGGCAGGGAGAGGGUAGCGGAAUUCCGGGUGUAGUGGUGAAAUGCGUAGAGAUCCGGAGGAACGCCAGUGGUGUAGACGGCUACCUGGCCCUGACCUGACACUGAGACGCGAAAGCGUGGGGAGCAAACCGGAUUAGAUACCCGUGUAGUCC